rnacentral:rRNA from 1 species
GACGAACGCUGGCGGCGUGCUUAACACAUGCAAGUCGAACGGAAAGGCCCUGCUUUUGUGGGGUGCUCGAGUGGCGAACGGGUGAGUAACACGUGAGUAACCUGCCCUUGACUUUGGGAUAACUUCAGGAAACUGGGGCUAAUACCGGAUAGGAGCUCCUGCUGCAUGGUGGGGGUUGGAAAGUUUCGGCGGUUGGGGAUGGACUCGCGGCUUAUCAGCUUGUUGGUGGGGUAGUGGCUUACCAAGGCUUUGACGGGUAGCCGGCCUGAGAGGGUGACCGGCCACAUUGGGACUGAGAUACGGCGCAGACGCCUACUGGGGGCAGCAGGGGGAAAUAUUGCACAAUGGGCGGAAGCCUGAUGCAGCGGCGCCGCGUGCGGGAUGACGGCCUUCGGGUUGUAAACCGCUUUCGCCUGUGACGAAGCGUGAGUGACGGUAAUGGAUAAAGAAGCACCGGCUAACUACGUG